rnacentral:rRNA from 1 species
UACAGAGGUCCCGAGCGUUGUUCGGAUUCACUGGGCGUAAAGGGUGCGUAGGCGGUCGGGUAAGUCUGACGUGAAAUGCCGGAGCUUAACUCCGGGACGGCGUCGGAGACUCCUCGGCUAGAGGAUUGGAGGGGGGACUGGAAUUCUCGGUGUAGCAGUGAAAUGCGUAGAUAUCGAGAGGAACACCUGUGGCGAAGGCGAGUCCCUGGACAAUUCCUGACGCUGAGGCACGAAAGCUAGGGGAGCAAACAGG